CAAAAAAGAGCGUGUAUCACACGAAUAUCGUGCAGCACUCUUAUGUUAAUGCUAACAUAACUAGUAACGAUAGUUUUAGUUUUAGCACAACAAUGAGAUAUUCAGCCCGCAGUAAUUAUUGUAAACAAACAUAUUUAUCAUUUAUCCGGCAAUUUUAUUUACAGUGAAUAAAGUGUAUUAUCUAUGCACAUUGCAUAACAAUAAACUGCUGUAUAGUUUUAUGGAAUGAUAGAAAUGCUUGGUUUGAGAUCAUAUAUCAAGUGGGAUUCCAACUUUGAUUCUGAGGAGUGUUUCUUGUGAAAGUUUAUAUGCAAACAAAAAAUAAAAGUUCACCGAGGAGGUUCCUUUGAAGGAGCUACGAAAGAUUGAUUUGAAAAGCUCAAGUCCAAAAUGUUGAGAUUUGAGGGAAGCUAAAAAUUCUUCAAUUCACAUAUUACUCUACUCCUAACUUAUUUUGAUGCAUAGAAUCAAUUAAAUGUAGAAAAUUUGGACACCAAAUUAAUAGAUAAAUUAAUAAAUAAGACUAAGAGCAAUUAA